UACGUAGGGUGCAAGCGUUAAUCGGAAUUACUGGGCGUAAAGCGUGCGCAGGCGGUUCUAUAAGACAGAUGUGAAAUCCCCGGGCUCAACCUGGGAACUGCAUUUGUGACUGUAGAGCUGGAGUACGGUAGAGGGGGAUGGAAUUCCGCGUGUAGCAGUGAAAUGCGUAGAUAUGUGGAGGAACACCGAUGGCGAAGGCAGCCCCCUGGGUCAAAACUGACGCUCAUGCACGAAAGCGUGGGGAGCAAACAGG
rnacentral:rRNA from 1 species